GCCCGAGAGCAGGGAGGGGCCGGAGCGGGGCCGCGGGGACGCGASAGCGGCGGGCGGGAUCGCCCAGUGCCCGCGGCUCCCGGCGGAGCGGGAACGCUGGCGGCCGCCGSGCGGGGCGGGAGGAGAGGGCGCGGGAGGGGACGGGAGAGGGUGCGGGGGCCUUCCUUGCGAUUUUUUUCUUUCUCCGCCCCCUCCCAGCCGCGCCCCCUUCCCGGACCGUGAGAGAUUUUUUCUGCUACCUCAGUUUUUUUGGAAACAGGAAUAUAAAUGGAACUACCUGAUUCUUUGAACAAGUAGAGAUGAUUCCAGUGUUUUAGAAUCACAGAAUGAUUGAGAUUGGAAAGAAUCUCCGGAGGUCAUUUGGUCCACCUUCUCCCCUACUCAAGUGGGGUCACAAAGAGCAAGCUGCCCAGGACCAUGUCCAGACAGCUUUUGAAUAUCUCCAAGGAUAUAGAUCCCACAGCCUUCCUGGGCAACCUGUAGUUGGUCAUCCUCACAGUGAACAUGUAUUUCCUCAUGUUUAAGUGUUGUGUUUUAGUUGUUGCCUAUUGACUCUUCUCUUGUCAUUGGACGUACCUGAAAACCUUGGCUCCAUUUUUUUUKAAUCUUCCUUUCAGAUAUUCAUGCACAUUGAUGAGACCCCCCCGAGGUGUCUUUUGGUGUUAAAUGAUUCCUUUAGAAUGCUCAUCUGUGUCUUGAAAUAUUUUGCUUCAGUAGCUGUGGCAUUGCAUAGCUUGACAUUUAAAUACAGUGUAAACUUUUCGCCCACAGACCYCUGUGCAUUUCCCUUAGGAGUUUGUGUAGUCUGGCAUGGAGCACUAUGUUUCAUUAUCUAAUCACUUGCAGAUCUGCUUCUUCACUGUUUUUUUUUACUGUGUCAUAACCUGGUGGAUUUUUCAUGGUGCCUAAUGUAGAACUGUGAAUACUUGUAAUUUUUUACCAAAUAAACAUCCACGCUGUUGUUGACAAUGGUGGUAGUGUU